rnacentral:rRNA from 1 species
UACGAAGGGAGCUAGCGUUGUUCGGAAUCACUGGACGUAAAGCGCACGUAGGCGGAUGUGUCAGUCAGGGGUGAAAUCCCGGAGCUCAACUUCGGAACUGCCUUUGAUACAGCACGUCUUGAGUCCGAUAGAGGUGGGUGGAAUUCCUAGUGUAGAGGUGAAAUUCGUAGAUAUUAGGAAGAACACCGGUGGCGAAGGCGGCCCACUGGAUCGGUACUGACGCUGAGGUGCGAAAGCGUGGGGAGCAAACAGG